GAUGAACGCUGGCGGCGUGCCUAAUACAUGCAAGUCGAGCGAACGGACGAGAAGCUUGCUUCUCUAAUGUUAGCGGCGGACGGGUGAGUAACACGUGGAUAACCUACCUAUAAGACUGGGAUAACUUCGGGAAACCGUAGCUAAUACCGGAUAAUAUUUUGAACCGCAUGGUUCAAAAGUGAAAGACGGUCUUGCUGUCACUUAUAGAUGGAUCCGCGCUGCAUUAGCUAGUUGGUAAGGUAACGGCUUACCAAGGCAACGAUGCAUAGCCGACCUGAGAGGGUGAUCGGCCACACUGGAACUGAGACACGGUCCAGACUCCUACGGGAGGCAGCAGUAGGGAAUCUUCCGCAAUGGGCGAAAGCCUGACGGAGCAACGCCGCGUGAGUGAUGAAGGUCUUCGGAUCGUAAAACUCUGUUAUUAGGGAAGAACAUAUGUGUAAGUAACUGUGCACAUCUUGACGGUACAUAAUCAGAAAGCCACGGCUAACUACGUG
rnacentral:rRNA from 1 species